rnacentral:lncRNA from 1 species
GCUACGGGGGGAUUUUCUGCCCCUUUUCCCCAAGCUCCAGCUCUGGGAUGGAGCUUCGAGGUCACCCAGGGAGGCGAGCAGGAGCCGGGGGGACACCAAGCGAGCAGGGGACGCUGCGCACAGGGGUGGGUGGAGGGAGGAGAGGGCAGCUCAGCCCUCCCCGAGCCCCGCGUCCCCCCGUCGGCCGGCCUGACAGCGUUUGCUCAUAUUUCAGAGAGACACAGCCAUCCGGAACGGCACUCCCUGCCAGCUGCCUCAUCUGGAGCCAUCCCCAGCUCCCUUCCAACCCGUGCCGCAGACGGGCCCCCCCAGAACAGCCACGGAGCGAGGAACCGAGCUGGGAAAGGCCUGGUGCACCAGCUCGCUCUGUGAGCGUGGUAGGCAGAAGCCACCGCCGCCAAGCGCUGCCCCGAGCGGCGUUGCUCGUGUUACCAUCACAAGCAAAUCACAAGGAGCACGAUCCCCUGGCGAGAAGGGGCCGAAGCCGUCCUUAUCAGGAAGGAUCCGGCACCGGGAAGCGCUUCCCGGAGUUCAUCUGGAGGACAGAUGUACAGCCUCUCGCGUGCGUCCCGCAUCUCGUGCUCGCGCAUCACCACCCAGCCCCAACGAUCUGGGACCAGGCUUCUCCUCCGGCUCCCAACCUCGCUGCCUUCAGCCCUGCUGGGUGAUUUAGGGCUGCCCGCCCCGGCUCUUCCUCCUGUGGAGGAAAGGGAAGAGGAGGACACCCCGCACCAGCCCUGCCUCCACCGAGCCAUCGUCCCCCGACUCCGACCUGCUGCGAAACGCCCCGAGCUGACCAAGUCACCCGAGACUCAGGCAGAGCCACAGCAUUUUAUCUUCUUAAAAGACCAAAAAAAAAAAAAAAAAGCGAGGCCAGACCAGAUUCUGCCCCAGAGCCUGCGUGGCAAAGCAGAAUCUUGCUCCAAGUGUUUAUUUAUAAAGCUGUACGUACAUGUACGUUUGAAUCCUGACAGAAUUAAUUCUGGCAUCCAGCUAAUUCAAAGCAUUCCUCCCCCAUCACACUACUGUUGCAGGCCAGCCCAGCACAGAAGCUGAUUAUAAAAUGCUGCACUAGCCAGGCAUUUCUGCAAAGGCUUGUGCUAUUGAGCAUUCAGUCUUUCCUUGCUUGGCUAUUUCAUUGUUUCGGUGUCGCUCCCUCCUCUCUUGCCCUGUGUUUCCUGGUUACUUUUGUCCCUGCUCUGGAAGCACUGCUGCUCUCAGCCCCAUUUCAGUGUCAGGUUUAAAAAAAUAAAAAAAAAAAUACGUGAAAUUGAAGAGAAGGC